UUGAACUCACAAAUCCGCCUAUCUCUGCCUCCCAGGUGCUGGGAUUAAAGGCGAGCGCCACCACGCCCGGCUUAAAAAGUUAAACUUUUGAAGUACCUUAUAACCCAACAUUUAAUAGAUAACUAAAAUCUACCCAUAUAUAUAAAAUUUAUAUGUGCAUGCAUGUGCGUGUGAAGUGUGUAGUAUAUGCACACAUAUGCAUACAGGUGUGCACGUGCACAGUGACCAGAGGAAGAUGCUGGGUGUCCUGCUGUAUCACUCUCUACCUUACUCCCCUGAGACAGGGUGUUUGUUUAGUUUUUUAAGAUUUAUUUAUUUUAUUUUAUGUAAUUUAGUACACUAUCGCUGUUGCUGUCUUCAGAUCUCAUUACAGAUGGUUGUGAGCCACCAUAUGCUUGCUGGGACUUGAACUCAGGACCUCUGGAAAAGCAGUGCUCUUAACGGCUGAGCCAUCUCUCCAGCCUCUGAGACAGGGAUUCUUUCUGAACCUAGAUAAAGGCAGUGGUCAGAAAACCCUGAGAUCCUCUGAACUUGUGGCCCUUCUGUCCCAGCUUCAUUAAUAGCUGUCAUUACAGGCACAUACCACUGUGCCUUGCUGGACACCUUCACAUGGUAUGUAUUUUAGUAUCAUCGUCGUCGUCGUCAUUAUUAUUGUUUUUAGACAGUCCUAUAUAGCCCCCGACUGCCUUGGACUUCUGGUUCUCUGCCUCUACUUCCUGUAUGCUGUAUUCUCUGCCUCUACUUCCUGUAUGCCGGGAUUCAAAGCACUGACCACCACACUUGGUUUAAAUGGUGCUAAGGAUUGAACCCAGAGCUUCAUGCAUGCUUAUCAAAUACCCUAGCAUCUAAUCAAAAUCUCUAGCCCGCUGGUUAUCAUUUUUUCAAAGAGUAGAUUUUUAUGAUAUGUAAAAUGUGUCUCCACAGGAGAGUAGUGUGUGAUACAAGCAAUGGUAGUAAAAAUUCCUGUUGACUUACUAUGUCUUAUCUAUGUUCCCCUAUCUACUUGUACACACAAGAAGUUCUUUAUUGUCAAGUAGCAUAUUUAAAGUCCUUUCUACAGUAUUUGGCCUGUGACAAACAGCAAAUAUUAGCUACUAAUUUUGAAAACAUCAUAUAACUUUAUUUAAUCUCACAGUGACCCUGUGAGGUGAAUUGAGAGAACACUGUCCACCAUUUUACAUAUGAAGCUAUAGACUCACCGAAGGACUCAUUUGCUCUGGGUUUUAUGUCAACAGUGUCUAGCUGGGCAUAGCGGUGCAUGGCUGUACCAUCUGCUCCUCACAGAGCUGAGACAGGACGAUCACAAGCUCAACAAGUAAGCCUAGAUAUCAAAAUAUAACAAUACACAAUCGAAAAAAUGUGUAUUUAUUUUAUAUGCUUAAUCAUAGUCCAUGAAAUACUUUUAUUUUAGCUCUGAAUAUAUAGACCCAGCCUGGCUUCACCAUGUCUGGGAAACUGUCCAAGGAGUCAAGGAAGCCAUGGUUUUUAGGCCAAGGUUUGACCAACACGGGGAAGUGGCUUUAAUGUUGCUAAUUUUGGAAAAUGCUACAAAGUCACAGACAGCCUUGCUUCUGCUCUGGUCAGCUCACCUAUAUCAGUGUCUCCAAGAUCCCCCCCAUGUUGUUGGGGUUUUUUUGUUUGUUUAUUUGUUUGUUUUAAUGGGUUUUGUUUUGGUUUGGUUUGGUUUGGUUUGGUUUGGUUUGGUUUGGUUUGGUUUUGGCUUUUUAAGACAGGGUUUCUCUGUAUAGCCCUGGCUGUCCUGGAACUCACUUUGUAGACCAGGCUGGCCUUGAACUCAGAAAUCCGCCUGCCUCUGCCUCCCAAGUGCUGGCAUUAAAGGCGUGCGCCACGACGCCCAGCUUGUUUUAAGGUUUUACAGUCUAGUUUUUAUUAUUUGUAAGUGGCCUUCUCAGUGACAUGGCUCUGUUAAGGAUACAGGGCUGGAGAUUAGAGAUGGAUGUCACAGUCUAUAGAGAGGCCAUGUGUCUAAGCACUCAUUUUCCCAUCUCUACCUCUGAGGUAUGUCUUGCUGUCCUUGGCACCUGACAGUCACUGGUGGCCUGCUUUAUUUAGUUCUCAUUACCCUUCUGUGUGCCAACAUCCAAAGAGCCAUCAUGGCAGGAUGUGGUUACAAGUCCAGAAUCUCUGAGGAACUACAGUUCUAGUCCACCCAGGACUUUGUAGCAAAACACAAUCUGAAAACAACAGCAAAGGGCUGGUUGACGAGGGUUUGUAAACCUCAGCCCCAAGGAGAAGAGGGCAUCGGAUCUCCUAGAGCUGGAGUCACCGAUGGUUGUGAGCCAUGCAGUGGGUGCUGGGAGCUGAACCUGAGUGUCUGCGAGAGCAUCCAGAGCUCGUAACCAUGGGGCCAUCAUCCUAACUGCAACU
rnacentral:lncRNA from 1 species